rnacentral:lncRNA from 1 species
GAGGUUCUCGUGGAAGUUUGCUUUGCGUUUGCGCAGAAUGCAUGCAAAAAGUGUUACUAUAUCUUCAACUCUUGCAUACUCACUCUUCCUAUUCACAUCUUCAUUUCUUGCAUAUUCAUCCUAGUUGCUAUUCAUACCUUCCAAAUUACAAAUCCAAGUCUUGAUGGGUUCUACUGUUAAUGAAGAAGAUAGUAACAAACCUCUUCAUAUUGUAAUGCUCCCAUGGCUAGCUAUGGGACAUAUAUACCCUUACUUUGAAGUAGCCAAAAUUCUAGCUUCAAAGGGUCACACUGUCACCUUCAUCAACUCCCCUAAAAACAUUGACCAAAUGCCAAAAACACCCAAAACCAUUGAACCAUUCAUCAAAUUGGUAAGAUUGCCUUUACCACACAUAGAGCAACUCCCACCAGGUGCAGAAAACACUAUGGACAUUCCAAUAAACAUGAACAAAUACCUUGAACUAGCCUAUCAAGGUCUUCAAGAUGAUGUUACUGAGAUUCUCAAAACAUCAAAACCUGAUUGGGUUUUCUAUGAUUAUGGUACUGUUUGGUUAGCACCAAUAGCUAAAAGCCUAAACAUAGCUUCUGUUCAUUACAGCAUAACACCAGCUUGGAACAUAUGUUUUUUUGAUCGACCUAAGGAUCAAAUCAAAACAAAUUUCGAAAUUCAAGACAUAUGUGGCCCACAUAAAUGGCUUCCUUUUCAAACAACUAUUCAUCUCAAACCUUAUGAGCUUAUUAGAGCUUUCACAGCUCUUAGAGAUGAAUCAGGUAACAUGCCUGAUUCUGGUCUCAACAAUGCUUAUUCAAGUUGUGAUCUUUUACUUCUCAGAACCUCGAGAGAGCUUGAAGGUGAAUGGUUGGAUUAUAUCUCUGAACAGUACAAUGUUCCUGUUGUUCCUGUUGGGUUGAUUCCACCUUCUAUGCAGAUAAGAGAUGAUGAAGAGGAAGAGAACAAUCCUGAUUGGGUGAAAAUCAAAGGGUGGUUGGAUUCAAGAGAAUCAUCUUCUGUUGUUUACAUUGGAUUUGGGAGUGAGUUGAAGUUGAGUCAGGAAGAUUUAACUGAGUUGGCUUAUGGAAUUGAGCUUUCUGGGUUGUCUUUCUUUUGGACUUUGAAGAAUCUGAAAGAGGGUACACUUGAAUUACCUGAAGGAUUCGAGGAAAGGACGAAAGAACGCGGAAUUGUUUGGAAGACAUGGGCACCUCAGCUUAAGAUCUUAGCUCAUGGAGCAAUUGGUGGAUGUAUGAGUCAUUGUGGUUCUGGUUCUGUUAUUGAAAAGGUUCAUUUUGGCCAUGUUCUUGUGACACUGCCUUAUUUGCUUGACCAGUGUUUGUUUUCAAGGGCAUUGGUGGAAAAGGAAGUGGCUGUUGAAGUACCAAGGAGUGAGGAAGAUGGGUCUUUUACUAGGGACUCUGUGGCUCACUCAUUGAGGUUGGCAAUUGUGGAUGAGGAAGGAAGUAGUUUCAGGAACAAUGCUAAAGAGUUGGGGAAGGUUUUCAGUUCAAAAGAUAUUCACAAUCAAUAUAUUGAUGACUUUAUUGCUGCUCUUUACAAGUAUAGGGUUCCUUCCAAUUCCAACAACUAAGUAGACUAGUAAUUUUGUAUCAUGUGUUUCCCUUCUUCUCAUAAUCAAUAUAUUUAUUGUGAUUUUUGUUUUGCAAUAAAAGGUUUUAUUUUAGUUUCCUUCUUCUCAGUUUUGUAACAAAAAUGUUAAUUGGCCAUCCUUCUAUAUCUGAUUUGUGAUAUGGCACUUUUUUUUACAAAAAAUUGUAUCUCUAGACUAAUCAUUCUCUUAAUUUCAUAUUGGUGAAAAUUGCUUCAAAGGACUGUAGUUGAUUAUCAAGUAUCAACUUCUGCAUUUGCAUAUCACAAACUUGGCAGCAGAAGUAGACUAGAAUUCAAUUAUGUGGUAUGAAAGUUUUACAUAAAUAAAGAUCAUAAAUGGUAUGCAUGUUUGAACAAAAUAACCAGAUCAUAAACCAAUUUUUUUUUUUUGUCAUUUUGUACACUUGUGACAUUGUGGUUGGCCAAUGUCGUCAGAUGACAUUGACACCCCAAUGUCACCCAAAUGUUUUCCGAAAAUGUGUUGGUGGGUAGAAGAAAUUCUAAUCUCUACCUAUGCUAUUUUGUAUUUAAUUCUUGGAUUCAUGAAUGUAAAAAAAAAAAUAUUACUAAGGAAGAAAAUUUACCUCUUAGUUAGAUGGCAAAAGAUGCUCUUAAUAUUCAACUGAAGUGCAAAUAAGAAAUUCAAGAACAGAUAUAAAUAAAUAAUAUAAAUCAAAACAAGGCACUUUGAAAACGACAACAAAAAAUUUGCUAAACUUUAAAAUUAAAAAAUUCUUAAUUGGCUCCCUCAAAAAAAAAAAAAAAAUUCUUAAUUGGCUCUCUAAACUUUUAAACAAAUUGUAAAUGGUCCCUACCUACAACAUAAUUAGCCCGAAGUUAAACAAGUACAUUGUUCACAAGUCAUAAUUCAACCGUUAAGAAUGUUGAAUUUUUUAGGUCAAACCUCAUGGUUUGAAUCCUGAUUUCUUUACUUAUAUGUGUGUCUAAUAAUUUUCAUUUCGUUUAUGAAAAAUAAAUAUAACCAAGCUAACAUUUAUUAUUAUUUAUUAUUUUGUCUUUCAUUUAUAUUCUUGCAUAAAUUUUGAUGAAGAGUUUUGACACUCAUCUCGGUUCUACCCAAUUAUUAUUAUUAUUGGUGCGUGUAGAUGAUAUCCGAUUCAGACCGCAGACUUGCCUAACCCCUAAAUAAACAAACAAAUGUGUGUCUCCUUGACUUACUCGUGCACAAUUUAGCGGAAUAAAUUAGUAGAUGCGCGUUUCGCAUGCCACUACCAUCCAUUUCUAUUUCUUCCCUAUAAUAAUAUGCCAUCAUCCUUCAAAAAAAGAAUAUGCCAUCUUUUUCAUGUAUUGCAGCAACAACAUUCAUUCAUUCAUGGAUAACAAGAAAAACAAACCUCUUCAUGUUGUCAUGUUUCCAUGGAUAGCCAUGGGACACAUGUACCCAUGUUUUGAGGUUUCCAAGAUUCUUUCACAAAAUGGUCACUUUGUCACACUCAUAUCUACUCCUUCAAUCAUAGAUCGUCUUCCUAAACUCUCACAAACCCUUUCACCAUUUUUUAAUCUCAUCAAACUUCCCUUAUCAUCUUACAUUGACAAAAACCAUCUUCCAACAAAUGCAGAUUCAACCAUGGACAUUCCCUCCAACAAACUCUAUUACCUUAAACUAGCCUAUGAUUCUCUUCAAGAAUCUGUAGCUGAGAUACUCAAAACUUCAAAUCCUGAUUGGGUUUUCUAUGAUUUUGCAGCUAGUUGGUUACCACAGUUAGCAAAAGGUUUGAAUUUGAACAUAUCAUGUUGUUAUUUCAGUCCUUGUCCUGCAUGGAGCAUAUGUUUCUUUGAUACACCAAAAAAACAACUUGGUGAUGAUUCUGCAGCUAUUAGAACAAAUGCAGAAGAUUACUAUGGUCCACCUAAAUGGAUUUCUUUUCCUACAAAGAUUGGUUUAAGGCCUUAUGAGGUAAGAAAAUUGCUUGAAGAUAUCAAAGUUAAUGAAACAGGGGCUUCCCCUGUUUUUGAUCUAAACAGAGCAAAUUCAGAUUGUGACAUGUUUGUUAUUAGAAGCUCAAGAGAUCUUGAAGGAGAAUGGUUAGAUUUUCUUGGUGAGUUUUACAACAAGCCUGUGAUUCCUGUUGGAUUGCUUCCACCAAGAAGAGAUUCUUCUGAUGAGGUAGAAGAUAGUCCUGAUUGGAUUCAAAUCAAAGCAUGGUUAGACACACAAAAGAGUUCAUCUGUUGUUUAUAUUGCAUUUGGGAGUGAGGUGAAAUUGAGCCAAGAAAAUCUCAAUGAAUUAGCUCUUGGGAUUGAGAAUUCUAAAUUACCUUUCUUUUGGGUUUUGAGAGAUUUGAAAAAUGGUUUUGUUGAGUUACCAAAUGGGUUUGAGGAUAGGACAAAAGAUCAUGGUAUAGUGUGGAAAAGUUGGGCCCCACAACCUAAGAUCUUAGGUCAUGGUUCAGUUGGUGGUUGUUUGACUCAUUGUGGUUCAGGUUCAAUGAUAGAAAAUCUUUAUUUUGGACAUGUUCUUGUUAUGUUGCCUUUUUUAUUGGAUCAAGCUUUGUAUUCAAGAGUAAUGCAAGAGAAGAAAGUUGGAAUUGAGAUAGUGAGGAAUGAAGAAGAUGGAUCAUUUACAAGGAAUUCAGUUGCUAAGGCAUUGAGAUUUACCAUGGUUGAUGAAGAGGGAAGUGAUUAUAGGAAGAAUGCUAAAGAGAUAGGGAAGAAAUUUAGUAACAAGGAGCUUCAUAAUCAAUACAUUGAAAACUUCAUUUCUUCACUUCAAAAUCACAAUUCAUAGGAAUGUUUAGAAGUAAUUAAGUAAACAUUCAUUUGAAUUGAAAUAAAAACCUUUGAUUCAACUUGUGGAGAUAGGACAAAAAGGUUGUUAUUUGUUUGUGUGUAGGGCAUAUCUGUUCACUUGCCUCACCUUAAUUCUUUCAGGUCAUUGCCAUUAAUUUCUACAUUUGACCAAUUUGUAAGCAUCAGCCCUUUAGAAAUUCAAUAUACAUAAAUUGGUGGGGUGAAUCAAAUCUAAAAUUUUAGUGUGAUACAAAUUUGUAUUCCUUCCAAUCACAUUUAUAAUCAAAAAACAUUUUCUUAGGUUUAUUGAAUGAAUAGUCAAUGUAUCUGGUCUAUAAAUAUGAUCAGAUACAUAAAUUAUUCAAUGAAUCUAAAAUAUUAUUUUUUAGUUAUAAAUGUGACGGAGGGAGUAAUUUCUUCAUAUAAUAUUCUUGUUGAAUGUGAAACUUAGUCGAUGAUUCGGUUAAUAGUCUUAUUAACGAUUCACUUUUUCUUAAAAUGAUUAAGCCGGUAUAAAUGAAUUUCGUCUCUAUGCUAUGAGAUUUUAACUACUUCAAAGAGUAUUAGUUCUUCAAACGAUUAGGUCAAUAGAAAAGAACUGCGUCAAUGCUACGAGUCCUUUAACUACUUCAAAGAGUAUUAAAUGGGGUAAAUAAUUUUAAGAACUAAAAUGCGAAGAAAAAUAUAAGUAAAAUGUUAGAGGCAUAUAAACAUAAAAUAAGUUGUUUGAUUGAUUGAGUGUGUCGAUGGUAAAAUUUACAAGUGAUAGUUACAAACCAAGAUACUAGAGUCUAUAUGCUAUGAGAUUUUUUUUUUGUGCUAAAAAAAAAAAUUUACAAACCAAGAUACUAGAGUCUAUGUCCUAUCAUCCAUGAUCUUGACCAACUAAAAUAGUGCCCUCAUUUCUCUCAAAAAAAAAAAAAAUAGUGCCCUCAUCGUUACUCGACUAUAUAAACUAUAGUCACAUGAUCGUGUGCAUGCUUCCUAAAAAAAUUGUUGUGGGGAUUAUCCCUUAUUUUCUUAAAUAAAUAAAUUUAAUGACAAGAAGUGGACGAUAUUAAGUCCUCUAAAAAAAUGGACGUUAAGGAUGAAUUAUUGGCAUGCUCUGAGUUAGAACCCUUCUUAUUGCAGCAAUGACUAGAAUGACUCUUUUCAGAGUCAAGUUAAAAUCAAUUUUAACACCUUCAAAACAAUUAUACAUAAGUAAAAAAAUCAAUUUUGACACCUUCAAAAUUGAAACAUACUUGAAGAAUAAGUUUGUGUCUAAAAAACAAUUUUAGAAUCAAGAGAUCUAGAUUCUUGCUUCAAGUUAAAAUUAAUUCUCCAAUUCUAAAUACAAAAUCAAUUUUUCAAAAAGAGUAACCAACAACAACAUCAACAAUCAAGUCUUUUUUCAUUAAGUGGGGUCGGCUACUUCAAAAGAGUAAUCAAAUAUAUCAAAAUCUAUUACUCCCUCCGUCCCUAAUUAUAAGAUCCUUUGGAGAAUUUUUUUUGUCCCUUUUUAUAAGACCCCUUUGUUAUUUCCAACUACAUUAAUUAUUUCUUUACAUACAUGCCCCUAUUUAUUAUACAUCUUUUUCUUCAAUCAGCAAUAAGUAGCAUAUGGAAAACAUAAACUAACUCUCUCUCUUAAGGAUAAAAUUGUAAAAACAAUAGUGAUUACAAACAACUUUAAUACAAAUAUCCGCUUUCUUAAUUCCCGUAAUUUUAGCAAAAGAGUCUUAUAAUUAGGGACGGAGGGAGUAUAAAAUUUAUCCCUAAUAAUCAAACCAAACAUAGUUGAAUAUACUCCAUCCGUUUCAAAAUGAGUGUCACUUUAGCAAAAAAAAAAUUGUUUCAAAAUGAAUGUCACUUUGCAUUUCCAAUACAACUUUAAUUUUUUUCUCCCAAUUUUACCCUCAAUAAAUACUUCAACUUUUCUCUUAAACAAUUUUCAAUGCAACUUUAAGUUUGUCUUUUUCUUGUGCAGUUUAGUAAAAGUGUCAUGGCUAAUGAUUAUUUUAUUCCAUUACUUAAUUUGUGUGCAAUUAACUAAAACGACAUUCAUUUUAAAAAAGAUGGUGUAAAUUUCUUGCGGUCAACAAAGGCCGCAUUCACGACAUUAUUGAUCGUUGGGUCGAGAUUAGAUUUCUAACAAUUUUUUUUUUAUUUUUAAAAAACUACUGAAAUCUAAUAUUUAAUUUCUGCAAUGCUGGAUCUUGAUAUAAUGGUCAUCAAUGUUAGAAUGGUUUUUUAUGACCGCAAGGAAUCCAUAUUUUACAUAGUCACCGUAAUAUUGACUUCAACAACGUUAGAAUUUCUCAGCAAACAGCCAAGCACCACCACGUGACAAGAGAGAAGAACCAACACCAACAGUGAAAGAAUCAAUCCCAAAAGGCCAAAACACAAUCUUCUUUCUAUUUUACACUAAAAUAAUCAUUGCAUGGCUCUCGUGGAAGAGCAUAGCCUCCUCGUGGAAAUAAAAUAACGUUGGAUUGGAUGUGUUUUUUACAAGUAAUAAUAUAUUUGAAUGCGUGUCACACGUGGCAGUGAUUGUUUAUACAAAAAUAACUUUAUAUUAAUUAAAAAAAAUAACUUUAUAUUAAUUAAGACUUCGACUGCUACUAUAUCUUCAACUCUUGCAUACUCUUCCUAAUCAUAUCUUCAACUUUUACAUAUUCUUUCUACUCAUACAUACCAAACAAAUCCAAGUCUCCAUGGGUUCAAUUGCUAAUGAAGAUAGCAACAAACCUCUUCAUAUUGUAAUGCUCCCAUGGCUGGCUAUGGGACACAUAUACCCUUACUUUGAAGUAGCCAAAAUUCUAGCUUCAAAGGGUCACACUGUCACCUUCAUCAACUCCCCUAAAAACAUUGACCAAAUGCCAAAAACACCCAAAACCAUUGAACCAUUCAUUAAAUUGGUAAGAUUGCCUUUACCACACAUAGAGCAACUCCCACCAGGCGCAGAAAACACUAUGGACAUUCAACCAAACAUGAACCGUUUCCUUAAGCAAGCCUAUGAAGGUCUUCAAGAUGAUGUUACUGAGAUUCUCAAAACAUCAAAACCUGAUUGGGUUUUCUAUGAUUUUGCAAGUGGUUGGUUGGCACCAAUAGCUAAAAGCCUCAACAUAGCUGCUGCUCAUUACAACAUAACACCAGCUUGGAACAAAUGUUUCUUUGAUCCACCAAAGGAUCAAGUCAAAACAAAUUUCAAACUUGAAGACAUGUGUGGCCCACCAAAAUGGGUUCCUUUUCAAACAACCAUUCAUCUCAAACCUUAUGAGAUUAUUCGAGCUUUUACAGCUCUUAGAAAUGAAUCAGGUGGAAUAGCUGGUUUUGAUCUCAACAAAGCUUAUUCGAGUUGUGAUCUUUUUCUUCUCAGAACCUCAAGAGAACUUGAAGGUGAAUGGUUGGAUUAUAUCUCUGAACAGUACAAGGUUCCUGUCGUUCCUGUUGGGUUGCUUCCACCAUCUAUGCAGAUAAGAGACGAUGAAGAGGAAGAGAACAAUCCUGAUUGGGUGAAAAUCAAAGGGUGGUUGGAUUCAAGAGAAUCAUCUUCUGUUGUUUACAUUGGAUUUGGGAGUGAGUUGAAGUUGAGUCAGAAUGAUUUAACUGAGUUGGCUCAUGGAAUUGAGCUUUCUGGGUUGUCUUUCUUUUGGGCUUUGAAGAAUCUGAAAGAGGGUACACUUGAAUUACCUGAAGGAUUUGAGGAAAGAACGAAAGAACGCGGAAUUGUUUGGAAGACAUGGGCACCUCAGCUUAAAAUCUUAGCUCAUGGAGCAAUUGGUGGAUGUAUGAGUCACUGUGGUUCUGGUUCUGUUAUUGAGAAGGUUCAUUUCGGCCAUGUUCUUGUGACACUGCCUUAUUUGCUUGACCAAUGUUUGUUUUCAAGGGCAUUGGUGGAAAAGGGAGUGGCUGUUGAGGUACCAAGGAGUGAGGAAGAUGGGUCUUUUACUAGGGACUCUGUGGCUCACUCAUUGAGGUUGGCAAUUGUGGAUGAGGAAGGAAGUAGUUUCAGGAACAAUGCUAAAGAGUUGGGGAAAGUUUUCAGUUCAAAAGAUAUUCAUAAUCAAUAUAUUGAUGAUCUCAUUGCUGCUCUUUACAAGUAUAGGAAUCCUUCCAAUUCCAACAACUAGGUAGACUGAGUUCAUAUCAUGUGUUUCCCUUUGUUAUUGUGAUUUUUGUUUUACAAUAAAGGUUUAUUAGGUUCCCCCUUUUCAAUUUUGUAACAAAAAUGUUGGUUGACCAUCUCUAUAUACGGCACUGUGGUUUACAAAAAAAUGUAUCUCUAGUCAUUCUUCUCCUAAUUUCUAUGUUGGUGAAAUGGCCUGAGAGGAUUGUAUUUGAUGAUCAAGUAUAAACUUUUGCAAUUGCAUAUCUCAAACAUAGCAGAAGUAGACUAGAAUUCAAAUAUGUGGCAUGAAAGUUUUCCAUAAAUAAAGAUCAUAAAUGGUAUGCAUGUUUGAACAAAAUAACCAGAUCAUAAACCAAUUGAAAAUGUGUUGGUCUGGGCUGAAAAAAAUUAUAAUCUCUUAACUAUGCUAUUUUGUAUAUAAUUCUUGGAUUCAUGUUUGUCAAAAAAAUACUACUAAGGAAGGAAUCUUGCAUGACUGUGUCUCAGGAAAUUUACUUUAGUUAGAUGACAAGAGAUGCUCUGUAUAUUACAACAGUCAAGAAAGCAAACAAAAUUAGAAACCAGUUGUCAAAUAUAUUCACCUGAAGUGCAACUAAGAAAUUCAAGAGCAGCUCUAUGCAAGACACUUUGACAAAUGACAACACCAAAUUUCCAUCCCAUACCUCAACAUUCUAGUUGUUAUCAACCAAAUCAUUUUUGAAGGACAACUGAAGGUAUCAAUCUAUGCAACUGCUGGUAUAGAGGUGACAAAUGUGACGAGAAAGUUAAUAAACAGAACAUUUAAUAAAUAAACUAAAAGUUAAAAUCAAAGGUCAUCGAACCUAAACAUAAGAAUAAUAGGCAAGUCUCAUAAAGCUAGGAUGCUCUCCAAGCCUGAUUUAAACUUACAAAUAAAGAGGUCAAAUGAAGGAAAAAGAAGUUAUGAAAUAGAAAACAAUCUGCCCAUCUUUUAAAAUUGUAGCUUCCAAAAAUCGUAGAAAAUUUAGGAAAUAAACAAAACACCUUUGAAUGCGACAGAUGAAUAAAAUAUAUGACCUGUAUGUAAGUCACACAAAAUAAGAAAGGAAAGCCUUCCUUGUUUCAUAGAUGUAAUAAAAAAGUACAUAAGGCAAGUACCCUAUUACUAGGAAACUUUGUUAAAAUACAUAUUGUUUCCAAGAUAAACCAAUCUUACAAUGAAGUUAGACAAUAGCUUUUGUAAGCAUUUCUAUUAAAUGGAAAAAUUAACGAAAUGAACCAAACAGAACCCAUACUUCUAAGGAAGAAAUACUAUACACCUAAACUACUCUUCCAUUGUUCUGUUUAUCUAUAAUGCUCCAAAAUUGUAAUGAGCAUUUCUCGAUAAACCAACCUCUCAGUAUGCAUACAACAAUUCAAAUGUAAACAUAAAAAUUACCUUCCACAACAAUAUUAGAAAGAGGAGUAACAAAUCCAUAUCUAACUAAUACAUUCACGGUUAAGAAGGAGGUGUAGGAUGCAAUGAUGACAGUGGGAGCCUCUCCUUUCUAAGUUCCUUGACAAUAGCAGCAAGUGCUUCAGGAUUGACCCCAAGAUCACAGAGGGCAAUGAGAAUAGAAAGUGCAUGACGGUCUAAACCCGUGUCGAGUAUAUUGGACAUGUGAAAUGCCAGGUCCAAAGAUUCUCGUGCACUUCUGGCAGCUUCUGGAUCCAUGCUUAAAGCUGAGAUGUGAAUAAGAUGUUUACCGAUCAGAAUUGCGAAUAAAUAAACAACUAAACACAAGUUAAAAUUACCCUGCAAACUACUGUCUGAAACCUAUAGUCAAAUGUUUUAAAAAUGGGAGCGAAAGUUGAACUGGCGAGACCCCUAUUCGAUGAAUAUAAUGCUAAACUUCAUGAUAACUGAUGCACUGUGAUAACUUAUAAAAUAAAAUCCAUAACAAAUAAACAAAAAUAUCCAUGACAAAUACAUUAAAAUCCAUAACAAAGAUAAGUCUUCCUAAUAUAUAUUAAAACAUCAAAUCUCAUGUGGAUCAUACAAUCAACUAUGGGUGCCUGGUGGAUCAAGUGGACCAAUAUCACCACUUCAAAUAACACAACAGGAUCAAUGAAAAAUUUGAUAUGAAUAGGAAGAACAAAAAACACAGUAAGGUCACAAACUUCAUACAACAUAAACUAAGUCAACUAACAAAGAGUAUUGACAGUACAGCCUAUUUCAUUGACGUUCACAAACUUCAUUCAACUUUACAGCCUGUUAGUUUAUUUAAAGUUGGAAUAGGACUAGAGUCCCAUUUUCCUAAGGCUUUGUUUGCGAGUUUGGAGGGGAAGGCUUAGGAAAAAAGGAAUGAGCAAGUGGAAGAAAUAGAAGAAAAUGGGAGAGGAGGGCUUUGGGGGGUUAACUUUUCUUCAUAAUACAAAACCCUCCUCAUUUGGAGGAACUAAAAAAUUGUAUUGGAGGAGGGUUUUGGGGGGUUAAUAAGAAUUCUUCAAAUUUAAUUUAUGUUGUUAUAAUAUUUUUAAAAUUAAAAAUAAAGUAAUCAUAUGCAUUAAUUUACCAUUCUCUAAAAAACUACUCUUUUAAAAAAUUUGUAAGAUUUCUCUAUUUUUCUUCAUAUUUUGCACCCCUCAAAGCCUUUCCUUUCCUUCCCCUCCAAACUCGCAAACAAAGCCUAAAAGUCUUCCUAAUUGCCUUAUGUGAGAGAUUCCGUUGAUACCACUGGUUUUCCAAUAUGGAUCACAUAAUUAGGUGUCGCCAAAAGAAUAACAUGUGCAAUUUGAUUGAUAAAACAUGUUAGGCAAACUACUAUUUUAAAAAUUGAUUUGGUUAUUUAUAAUAAAAUGUGAUGAUGGAUCAUGAAUGAAUAUCUAAUGACUCCUAUUAUAACUUAACUUUAAAAUAAAACUAAAGUCAUGAGUAAUCUGUUCUUCACUGGACAUUUCAGAUCUGCAUUUUUGUGACCGCAUAAAAUCCAAUCCUCAAGGUUGAGUACUUGGAGCAGGUUCUUAGAGAAGCACACACUCGCCCAAGGAUUCAGGGCAUUGUAAUGUGGACAACAUGGUCACGAGAAGAUUGUAAGAUUUGCUUACUAGAUAACAAUUUCAAGGAACCCACUUGUAUCUGAUGAGUGAAAGUGUGAUUAUUAUUGAUAGGGUGACUAAAUUAUAAUUCUUAAUAGCCAUUAAAAAGAGAAACAUGGAGGAACCCAUUUUCCCCACACCAUCACUCGUAGGCAAGUUCUUGAAAUUAACAUCUAGUAAGCAGAUCUUACAAUAUUUUGGUCAUCACCGUGUCCUCCACACUACUCGAAGUACUCUAACAACAGAAUUGUUACAAGCAGUCACAAAAAUGAAAAUCUUAAAUGUUGAAUGAAGAAGAUUAAAUUAAUUGUAUUUAAAAGUAAAGUUAGAAUAUGAGUGUUUUGAUAUUGAUUCAACAUAUAAGAUUUUAUUAUAAGUAACAAAAUGAAGUUAUAAAUUGAACUGGUAACAUGAGAAAUGAUAGAUUCUAAUUAUGCGAUUCUUCAUUCCAAGUUUAAAUGGGAUUAACAAUAAGAAUUAAUAAUAAUAAUAAUAAUAAAUCACAGAUGAGUAAAGAAACAAUUAAUGAACGAGAAUAAAUAAAUUGAUUGUUGCAAUCGGGAAGCAGAAGGAUCAAUUGAUUCACAAACCUGUUGGUGCGAAGGUGAAGGACGUUUGCGGCGGUGAGAAGAAGAACCCAGAUUUUAUUUUAUUUUUUAAUAAUAAUCUCAGUCACGUGUUGAAACUUGAAAAUUUGUACGUAAAUGAAACAAAGUGGCAUAAAGAAAAAGAUAAAGUAAGUUUUUUUUUUCUUUUUUUCUUGAAGGAAGCGUAAAUUAAGUUAAAAUUGAAAUAUUUUUUUACAGACAUAUUUUUGACAUGCUUAUAAAAUUGAAGUAUUAAGAGUAAAUUACACUCCCCUCCCCUCAAAGUUGCUUGAAUUACAAGGGAGGGAAGUAUAAAUUUUACUUUUCAAGAGAGGGAAAUGUAUAUUUUAACAUAAGAGAGGAGGAGAGUGUAAUUCAAACAUCUUUAAGGGGAGGGAAUUGUAAUUUACUCAAAUAUUAAAUAUGAGAAAAGAGAUACUCCAUUUUAGAAUCUUAUAAUGUCAAAAUAAAUAAUUUUAUUAAAUGAGUGUAUAGAUAGAGAGCACUUAAAACUCAAAUUUGGAUCCGUACCUUUGAGUAAGAAAAGUUACCAUGACUUUAUGUUUAUCUCUCUUAUCUUAUCUAUAAUUUCUCUUUCAUCUUUGAUAAAAUAUAGGGUUAAUGGUGUUUUACCCUCUGUAAAAUAUUUUUUUUUCCAAAAAAAAUAUAUUUUACAGGGGAGUAUAUCAAAAAAAAUAUAAACCAAAAAUGAUCUAUAUUACAGGGGGUAAAGCACCAUUAACCAUAAAAUAUAUUACGCCCAAGUCAUGAUGACUUUCCCACCACUAAAGUCGUCACUGAAUCUCAGUCUUCAAAACUCUUGCACCUCUAUUUAGUUUUGGUGCUAAAUAGAAGAAACACUCUCCAUUAUGGUUGUUCUAAGCAAUCAUUUAUUUCAUGCAAUAAAACUUCGAAGACAACUAUUGUCAAAGAUGGUUUUUAUAAAUGAAUAAUAACUUGAAUCGUUGAAAACUUCAGUGAAAGGACUAUUAUAUGUGAUCAAAUCAUAUAAAGAACAAGUUAUAGUAGAAACUAUAGAUUUUGAAUUCAAAUUUGUGAUUUCAAUAUAAUGUUACAAAUCAUGGAAUUUUGUUACAGUUACCUCAAACUUAUUUCUGGUCUCCUAUGAAAAUUCUUUUCAUGAAACCAAAUAAGAAAAAUGGAAAUAAAAACUAACCCAAUGUAGAGAGGAUUUGAAGACUUAAAUCAAAUCCUCACACUCAAUGAAUGCUUCAAGUUUCCAACAUGAAGCAUGUGGUCCCCCAAUGGAACUUUUCUGUUACCAAGUUCAUCAACAACACUCAAAUCAUUGCAAACAUCUACCUUGAACCUAACCAUUCCUUCUGAUUUUCCUGCCAAUUGCACCUUUUCAAAACCCAACAAGUGUUUCUGAGGUGCAUUGUGCACAUUAGGAGGGGUAAAGAAUAACAACACUGAAUGGCUACUACUCAUUUUCCCCAUAUUCUUAACACUGAGAUGAAUAUCAAAUGCCAAGUUUUGACAAUGCUCAUCAGCAACAUCAAGUGACUUGCAUUCCAAGGAACGACAUUCAUGAUCCUCGGCUAAAGGAACAGAUACCAACUGAGGCGCUUUUACUAUUUUGUGUUCGACAGUUCCAAAGCUCAUUCCAUCUCCAAAUGAGAAAACAGUUUCUCCUUUAUAAAAUCUGUAAGUUCUACCAGGGUAACCAGUAGCAGGAUCAGACCUCAUGUUCAUGUUUGUCAUUGGUAUCUUUUCUACAUAGGAUUGUGGAUACCAUGUCAUUGGUAGCCUUCCACCUGCAUCACAAAAUCAUCGACAAAUGUCAAUGUUGUAUAUCGCUUUGAUUUUAAAUAAUGUCCGCGGGCCACAACCUGGGGAGUGAGAUCAAGUUGUAUCAGCAGCAUUUGCUGUGAUUUCUAAUAUUAGGGAUCACGGUAUAACCACAACAACGAUUUAUAACUUUUUGGAAAACUGUGAACAACUUACUUGGAUUAUAGGAGCCGAAAAUGACAUCAGCUAUGGCAGCUCCACCAGCUUCGCCGGGGUAGCCAACCCACAAAAUGCUUGUGAUUUUAUCAUUAGUUUUGGCAAAGGAAACAUCCAUGCCUCCACCAGACAUUAUGACAAGAAUCACAGGACCCUUGGAUACAUUUGCAACUUCAUUUACUAGUUGUUGCUGCUGUCCUGGAAGUAGAAUGUUAACUCUGUCAAGACUUUCUGCCUCUAUAGCUAGAUUUGCACCUACAACAAUAAUGGUAGCAUCUGCAGAGGCUGCAAUCUUCGCGGCAUCGUCUAUCUGAGCAUUGGCACAUUGCACAUCAGGACAGCCAGGAGCGUAACUCGUAGGAACAAAUGCUGUUAGGCCUUGCAAGGGAGAUGUAUACUUGCAAGGGAUGCCUGCAAAAUUUCAGUAACUUGUCAAAUGCUAUGAAGCAAUGACACAUACACGGACACAGAUACAAUACUGAUACCGACAAGACACAUAGACAGUAUUUAAAAAAAAAUUAAGCUGAUCGAAUGUAACCGCAUAUGUCAAUAGCGUGUCUGUGUUGGACACUGAGACAAUGGAUGCAUUCAAAUAGAUAUAUUUGUGAUCAGUUAGUAUAUUUUAUGUUUCUACAUAGAUAUAAUGGAUGCAUUUACCAAAACUUCAUAUUAUAUCCAUAAUAUCCAUAAUAUGACCAAGUCAUAUACUUAUUUGCUGAGGUAGGAAAUAUCGGUACCUUCAUAGUUUCCAAUCAUGACCCUUGUAGCGUUAGCAUUAGGUCCUAUAACUGCCAAUGAUUUAAUGGCUUUGGAACUUAGAGGCAAUGAUCCUGGACUAUUUUUAAGCAACACAAUCCCUUGCCUUGCAGCUUCACGAGCUAACUCUUGAUUCUCUGGAGUGCAGACAUCCUUUGGACCAAGGUUUCCAUAAGGUUGCUUGCUUGGAUCACCAUCAAAGAAACCAAGACGCAUCAAUGUUGCGAAAUUGUUCGAUACAGCAUUGUUAAUGGAUGCUUCAUCCACAAGCCCUUGCUUUACUGCCCCUCCUGUAUAUUGGCCAAGAUAACUUCCACAGUCCAAAUCUAAACCUGCACGAAAUCAAAAUUUACAUACAACCAAGAUAAGUAAACAACUAGAACAGCAGCCCAGUCCGAAAGUAAAAAGAUACAAAAAACACAAACACAGGAUAUUUGAUCACAUAGUUCGGCCAAUUGUGCCUACAUUUCAGAUUGCAGAGUGGCUGGCUGGAGUACCUUUCUAUUAAUUAAAUUUCGGGUUUAUAGAAGUAUAGUUCGUGUUUAAAUACUACGACUAUAUCCAACAAGUGUAAAUUGCAAACCAAUAAUUUUUCAAUUAACCAACAGUCUAACACAAAAUGAUUGGAAAUCCAGCAAUUUUCAUUGGAAUAUGUAAGUACAAAUUUUCUCAUAUUUUGUUACCUGACAGUAUGGUUUUGGCUGCAGCUUCUUCAGGAGUCUUGGUAUAAUGCUGAUCUUUGAAAAGCACUUCUACUGAGUCACAAUCAGAAACUAUAUAUCUACAUUCACGACAUAAUAUUCAUAUUAUUUAGUGUGAAAACAACAUGAAUAAUGAAAUCAAACUAAGUGAGAUUUAAGACAAUUCUAAGUUACCCAUUUAAUUUCCAUUUGCCUCUGAUAACUCCUUUAAGGAGGUCAGGGUCUGCACAAGUUGGUUUUCCAUUAACUUUAUUGUAUGAACACAUGACACUAGCAACAUUUCCAUCAAUCACACAACUCUUAAAUGGAGGUUGGAACGUGUCAUCCAAAUCUUGCUGACUCACCUAACAAAAUGAACAAACAAAAAAUGAUUUUCUAUAUUCAUAACCAUUCAAUCACUACUAAAGUGAUUGAAUGUAACCACACGUGUCGAUAACGUGCAAGGGUCGGACACUGACUUGUGUCAGACACUCAUGCACGUUUUCAACCUGAAGUGUCGGCUUGCUAGUAGUACAAUCACAUUAACUUACCACAGCAUCGAAGGUGUAACGCUGAACACCUUUCCAAUUAUCAACAUCAUAAGCUGUGUAGUGUUUGCAACAAGCAGCAACCUUAAGCUUGUCGGAGUCUCCAUCAUCAGUUUGUUGCAAACCUUUCACAUAUCCUGCUGCAUAUUUGCUACUUAACAAAGGGUCUUCACCUGGUGUUUCUUGUCCCCUUCCCCAUCUUGGAUCUCUGAAUAUGUUAAUGUUUGGUGACCAAUAUGUCAAACCGGCCAACCCUACAUUGUACAUUGCUCUUGCUUCAUUUGAAACCACCUGAAAUUACCAUAAAUUAGCCCUUAACACCACUUUAAACCCUUUUAUUUUUGUAAGUUUAUUUAGUCUAUAACCUUAACUUUUAGUACUUGAUAAUUAUGACAAAGUAUAUACUUCUGCUACAAAAUAAAUGAACUUGGCUUUUUCAUUGGUUAAAGCAAUUAAUUGUUCACUUUUGCUUCAAUAUGCAAGCUGGAAAAAGAUACAGUACUAAUUUGGCAAGUUCAAACUGAGAACUCACCCAUAUCUUUGUUUCAUUUAUUAUUGUAUUGCUCAAUUUAACAUUUGUACCUAAAAGGCUUUAGCUUUUAUGCUAAAUUAUGCUAUAAGCAUUAAAGAAAGGAUGAUGAAAAAUAAACAAAAUUCAACCAUGUAACUACCACCAUCUACUUCCUUUAAUCACUAACUAAUACAUUUAACCUCAUUGCUAAACCACCUACUAUUAAUACUCAAACCUACAAAAUUCAACAACAACUAAUAUCCUCUCAACUCCAUUUUUGAAACUAGAGAUCCAACCCUUGAACGUGGCAUGCCAUGAUGGUUACUUCUUUUAAAUGACAUUUCACAUUCAAAAUCUAACCAAUAUCUGAAAAUUUCAAAAACAAAAAAAAAAUCCACCAACUCCAAUGAAUAAAAUUAACAACUUUUUAUGUCUUUAUUCCAUAAAAGGUUGAAAAACAUCACCUUUUCCCAGUUUUUGAGAAGCUACUACCAAGAAAGAAAUAAAAAAAAAAAAAAAAGACUUCUUUAUGUGUUCCACAAAAAAUGAAUUAAAUUAUCGAUUUUCAAUACGAUAUAAUCACUUUUUUUCUCGGACCAUGUUGUCUGAUUAAUACUAAUUGCAUCGCUCCCAAACAAAUAAAUAAAAAGAAGAAGAAAAGAAAACUCACACUUCCAAUGGCUUGAAAAAGUGAAGUAUUGAAAGAAGCUGCUGUAAGAAUAGGCAUAGGAAAACUAGUAGCACCUGGAACCAAACUUGAAAAAUGUGUGCCAGGACCAAUGUUAGAGACUCCAUGAAGUGCUUCAGACCACCAUUCAUACUUUGGUAUCCCAAGUCUACUCACUUCAACAGCAGAGUUUCCAAGGUUCCCUAUCUUCUCUUGCAAUGUUAAUCUCUUCACCAAGUCUGAAACCCUAUCUUCCACAGACAAUGACUUGUCACAGAAUCCAUAACUUGAUACAUUUGUAUUCUUGGCAACAUCACAAGCAAAAACAGUUGAUGUUUGACCAUAAACAUGGUUACAAUUCAACAAAACUGCCACAUAGAAAAUUGAGAAACAGAGGAAAACAGAGGAAACCUUUGGUUCUCUGUUUUUUGUGUUGGCCAUAACUGUAAUGUAACCACUAAAAAUCUUUAAAAACAACAAAACAAGCAAAAGGGUAUGUUUUAUUAUGUUUAUUUUCUAUGAAUAAAGUGAAAAAUGUGUCAUUUAUGAACGCUUUGUUUUUUUGUGAUGUGUGAUUGAGAAGAAGAUUGAACUUUGAAAGAAACACCCUUUUGAAUGCAGUUGUUGUUUUUUGGCAGAGAGCCAAAAAAAAAAAACAACCGAAAGAAUCAAUGUAUUGUAUCUUACGAAUCUUAACUUUGGUCUGUGACUGUGUGUGUUAUAUAUAUACUUAUAUAUAUAGAUAUAUAUUCUACAUAGUGCGUGCAAGGUGGUUUUUUUUAUUAUUUUUUUCUAUUUUGGUCGAAUUAUUGUGUUAUAAAAUAAAGUCAACAUUUGCUUGCUACGGUAAAUCAUCACGUGAGAAGAGUACUUUUUUGGCAUUUGUCUUUGUUUUGGGGUUCAGUUAAAACAGAUUGUGAAAAGUGAAAAAAAAUUGCUACAAAAAUAAAAUUAAUAAAAGGGAUCAUAUGGUAUUGGAAAAAAAAAUCUUGUUCCUAAAAUAAUAAUUGAUUAUUGCAUGAAAAAGGGUUCUGUAUAUAUGAGGUAAUUGUGAAGCUUUUAGGCUGGAUGAAAUAAUGAUUUUAAGGGGUGUCAUUUUCAUGGAUAAUAAAAGCCUAUUGCACUUGUGUUGGAUAUGAUAAUAAAGAAAUUUCUUCUAUGGUUGUGUAAUAAUAAAUGAAGCAAAUAUUAUGUGGUACCAAGCAUAGGGUAAUGGGUAAGUAUUUUAUGACCUUUGUUUGUGUUAGAUGUUUGAUCAUAACAAUGCCAUGUUGGAUUGUUUGUUCAUGUAUGGUGUCUUCAAAAUUUUGAGAGUAGUAUUAACAUUUGUUAAUGAUAUAGACUAGAAUUUAGGUGGUAUCUAAAGUUUGAGUAGAGUUUAUAAUUAUAUGUUAGGACCAGUUUCUUUAUUACAAAUAACUUUAUUCGGUUGGUGGUUCAAUUCUUGGAAACAAAGAGAAAAUGAUGGUAUAGAAGAAUAAUUGAAAUUUAUAUAAGAAAAUAUCUUAUAGCUCAUUGGAGACAGCAGGAAUAUGGAUGAAGUUGAAGGUCAUGAAGCCCGUGUUUGUACAGGGGCUAAGCAACUUAAACUUGACUCAAAUAAAAUAAAAAGAUUAAUUUAUUUGAAAGUAUAAAAAAAUAUUUAUACAUAAAUUCAAUUCAAUUACAUUAAAAUAUGUACAUUUUAUAAAUAAGUUUUAAAAUGUUUACAUUAUAUGAUUUGAUUGAAAGCAUGUGCAAAAUAGUUUUACAUUAUCCGUGUAUAUAAAUUAAAUCCAUAAAAUAUACUUUUUUUAUGUGUCAAAAAUCAAUUUGGUCCUAUUAUUGUUGAGGAUGAGUGCAAUUUGAUAAUAUUGAUUUUGAGAUUGAUUCAAUAAAUGAUGCUUUCCACUCAAACAUCACAUAAUUUGGUCAUAUUAUUGCAGUUUGUAUGUGUUGCUACAACUUCCUUCACAAACUUGUGGGUUUAGUGUUUCAGAUGAUAAAUCAAUGUGGUCGUUCAUGCUCUUGUAUAAGAGGUUACAUUAUUAGCCAGUCUCACUAUUCAUUUUAGGGUUGAUUAUGUUUUAGGUCCCUAUAAAUAGGCAUGUUUCCAACAUUAGUCCCUACAUAAAUUUUAUUAAAUUUUUGGUCACCAACGUUUUUUUCUGUUAGCAAAAAAGGUCCUCGCUAUUAAUUGUUGCUGAUUGAAUAGGGACAAUUAACCCUUUUUUCGUAGAUGCUUAUAAAAUCGAGACAUUUUAAGUAGGGACCAAAAAUGAAUAGAGUUUGAGCAUAAAUUAAGCAUUGACUAAUACUAAGUGCAUAAUAUUUUUUUAAGGACUAAAACAACUAUUAAAAUUAAGUAAGGACUAAACUUAAAAUGCCUCAAUUUUAUAGGGACUAAAAACAUAUUUAACUCAACAAAAAAAGUCAGAUGUGGCAUCCACGUGUACUUCACCGUUUGCUCAAUCAGCAACAAUUAACAACGAGGACCUAUUUUGCUAACGGAAAAAAAAACAUUGGUGACAAAAAAUUUAAUAAAAUUUAAGUAGGGACUAAUGUUGGAAACACGUCUAUUUAUAGAACCUAAAACAUAAUUAACCCUUCAUUUUAAUAUCCCAAGUUGUAUUGACUCUCUUAUUAUCAAAGAAAUGUUACGAAAAUGUGUCAAAAAUCAAAAUAGUUUUUACUAUUGAAAUAAAUAAUAAUAAUUUUCAAUUGAUUUAAUUAUUUGAUACUAAUAAAAUUAUUAUUUUUAUAGAUAAGUCACGAUAUUUUGAAUUCAUUUUAAAGAAAAAUUGUUUUAAAAAUAAUUAAAAUCCAAAUAAUAAUAAUAAAUCGUCAUCGAAAUGCACACAAGUGAUAGAUAGAUAUAGGUGGGGUUACUAUUCUCUUUGUGAUGGGCCCGCUCAGAGUCUCACUUGGCCCAAUCAUAAAACCGUGAAGUCUAAGUUUGGGUCAGUGGAACCCAUCCAGUGGCCUGCAGAAACAAGAAGAUAAUUGUAUCUUUGUGGCUGAGGCAGCAUAUCCUACCUGUAAAGCACCCAAUGAAUCAUCAUUAUCCAGUUUUUAAAAUUAUAUACAAGUUUUUCUUUUCAAUAUUAUCCCCGUAUUUGAAAUGGAGUAAGUGGUGUUAGUAUUGUAGACCAAAAUAAUUGUUUGGUGUUGCGUUUGUAAUAUAAUUUGAAUUGAAUAUAUUGGAUAAUUCAGAUUUUAAAAAGAGAAGUACUUGUAGGAAUUUGAAAGAGAAAUAUCAGUUGCAAGUUGGUGCAGCAGAGUGGUCAGUACCAGUAUACUACACUUUCGUGUAAUAAAAAUGGGCCAAUGUUGUUUCUGAAAUUCAUUCUUGACGUUAUUCAUUCAUGCCAUUAACUACCCACCAAGCUUAACCAGAAUAUGAAGCACGGACACUUCUCGACGAUAUUUUUAAUUACACUAAAUUAUGUAAUUCUUUUAAAUUAUUAAGAAUGUCGACGUGUCAGUGUCUAUGUCGUGCUCAAUAUAUGUGUCUGUAUGCGUGGUUGUUUAAUAGACAAUAAGUAUCUCUCUUAUCACAACUUGUCUGCUAGCUAAGUUAAUUUGUUUUUCUUUUAUAGAUUUUUAUAGGUUUAAUUGCACUUUUAGACCCCUAUCUUUCCAAAAGUUGCGGUUAUGGACCCCUAACUAAUUUAAAUACAAAAUAGCCCCCUAUGUUUCGAUUCUUUGACAGUUUUGGACCCCCAGUCCAUUGUUGACUCGAUCAACGCUGACGUGGCACCCUAAGUGAGGUGCCACGUGUCAAUAUAUAUAUAUUUUUUUGCCUUGGGGGUCCAAAACUGCCAAAGAAUCAAAACAUAUGGGGUUGUUUUGUAUUGGCUUAAUUGCACUUUUGGACCCCUAUCUUUCCAAAAGUUACGGUUAUGGACCCCUAACUAAUUUAAAUACAAAACAACCCCCUAUGUUUUGAUUAUUUGACAGUUNNNNNNNNNNNNNNNNNNNNNNNNNNNNNNNNNNNNNNNNNNNNNNNNNNNNNNNNNNNNNNNNNNNNNNNNNNNNNNNNNNNNNNNNNNNAGUGAGGUGUCACGUGUCAAUUUUUUUUUUUUUUUUGCCUUGGGGGUCCAAAACUGCCAAAUAAUCAAAACAUAGGGGGCUGUUUUGUAUUUAAAUUAGUUAGGGGUCCAUAACCGCAACUUUUGGAAAGAUAGGGGUCCAAAAGUUCAAUUAAGUCUUUUGUAUUUAAUUUAGUUAGGGGUCCAUAACCGCAACUUUUGAAAAGAUAGGGGUCCAAAAGUGCAAUUAAGUCAUUUUUAUAAUAAGCCAUUAAAAUAUGCAAAUGAAUAAUUACGUUGAGAUAAUUUGUCCAUAUCUAUCCACACAUGACAUAACAUAAGUCAAUUGGCACAUUAGGACUCUUUUGCUUUUUCGGUGAUCCAGAAAGCAACUCAACCUUAUUCUGCCUACUGCCAACAACCAACGUGCUUCAAUAUUUGAUUACUUAUUUUUAGAUUCAAAACUUGCUUAGGAUAAAAUCAACAAUUGAUAUUCAAAUAAAAAAUUCUUCAUUCUAGCGGAAAUUAAAAUUAAUACCAUAAAAGAAAAAUAAGUCAAAAGGGAUUAAAGGAGGAGAAAAAACACACACAGAGACACUACACGAGUCACCCUUACACAAACGAACAAAAGAGUGGUUACUACAUGGACAAAUACUCUUCAACUAAUAAGUCAUUCUAGUUAGGUGGUAUUUGGUUUAAUAUUUUCUUACAUUCUUUAAUUAUUACUACCUAUCAUUUGGGCACAUUUGAAAAUGUUAACCUUCUAAAUUUUGUUCGGUGUAACAUCCAAGAUUUAAUCAUUUAUUAUCAUGUUUUAUAUUUUUAUAUAUUGGAUUACUUUUAAAUGAAUUUAAAUUUUAAAUUAAUUAAAAUACCGGUAUCAAUCAAUUUGGGCAACUUGCUAGCUAUAGCUUGUAGAUCGGUCCUUUUUCUACUUUCACAUUUGCUAAAAAAGAAGAUAUUCCCCAAAGCAGGUUUACUAGAAAGUUAUGAGGUGAGGUCUUUUAUCACAUUUUUUAUUCUUGAUAUCCGAUGAAAGUUUAAAUUUAAUGUUAUGUUUGUUGAUGAAUGUUGGUUUAUUACGAGGUGUCUAGGUUGAUUCUAAUUCUAAAUUCAAGGACUAACAUCUUGAAUUUCUGGGGAAAAAGUUGAGAAAAUGAUAAAAGAGAAUUUUCAUAAAAGUUUUUUCAUUGGAUCAAUGUGAGAAACUCAUAGUUGGAAGAAGCUGCAACAUUUCUUAAUUGUAAGGAGGGUUAAACACCUUUCAAAUAUCUUGACACAUUUCAAUUGGUGGCAAAAUGCCAAGGUUAUCUUUUUGGGGUCCUUUGGUGGAAAUAUUAAAAAUGGAUUAUCUAUUUGAAAGUGUAGAAUUUGUCGAUGGAUGGAGUCUUAUUCUCAUUAAAGUUGUAUUGUCAAUCUUAUAGGUCUACUUUUCUUUUUUUAAGGUUCCCUCAAGUAUCAUUUCUCAAAUUAAUAUCUUUUAAAGUUAUUUUUAUUGGGGUGGGGUAGAGACAAAGUGUAAAUUGAUAAGAAUCACCAUUAUGUUAGGUCAACAUAGUCAAACAUAGAUCAAUUUACGUUCAAUUCAUUUUUAGUCAAAAUAAAUUUAGAUAAAUCCAAUUUUAUUAGAAUCAAUUCUAGUUAUCGCAAAAUCAGUCACACGCUUUCAACCAUGUUUAGACUUCUAGUGGUUUACAUUUGGUUAAUAAGUUAAGAGAAAAGUUAUGUAAUAAUUAAAUAUUUGGACAUAAUGGAAGGUUCGUUGCACAUUUGGUUGAUGAUGUUAAAAUUUAAUCUUGGUAAUGGUUUAAGACAAAAACAAAAAGUUUCAAUGGUGGACCAAUUUUAUGUUUUGAUUGAGCAUUAAUAUUGUAAGCAUGGGCGGGCGGACCUGAACAACACGUUGCCACACCAGCCCAGCCAAAAACUUUUAUGAAUAGGUGCUCUUGAAUUCUUGUACAAUUAACAGAAAACAAAGAACCCAUGUACUUGAAAAGCCUAAAGUUUUUCACCCUAUGGGUUUCAAACUAGUGAGUAUUGUUCAAACCAAAUACUAACAAUGACCCACAAACAAUGCAUUGGAUAAAGCACAAAGAGAAUCGUUCACUUAGUAUCUAUCUGUGUUUUACAAAGUACAUGCAUAUUUUUUUUGACAUAUAGAGAGAAUGAAAUUACUUCUAUAAAAAAAAUAGAGAAUGAAAUUAAUUAUUUAAUUUAAUAUUAAUAAUAAGUAAUAUCAGUUUUUUGUGAUUAUCAAACUAUAUAUUUGGUGUUGCUUGUUGAAAAUGGUUUUACAAAAGAUUUAAGAAUUGAGUUUUUAUCCUUAGCAUCAUGUGUUUGUCAAGCUAUUAUUAGGUUUUGACUACUAAAAUUGAUUUUAUAUUGUUUGAAAUUGAAAUUGAAUCAGGAUGAAGAAUAUAUGAAGAGUCAACCAAGUAUCAAGAUGGAUGAUCAAUAAUCAAAUAAAUGAUCGUUUUGCUAAAAAUAUUUUUAAUAUAAUUUUUUAUUAAAUUUAGUUUUAUUUAAUUAUUUGACAAAAAAAUUGUGUCUCACCAACAUUGUGAGUCCAGAUCCGCCUCUGAUUGUAAGUAGUGGAAUUUGCAGUUUGUGUGGUGUGGGUCAGUUUGUUCCAUUGUUUCAGAGGAUCAUGACUUUUUGUUUAAAGGUUGCCAACAUUUCAUCUUGACAUUGUAGUGCUAGGAGUGGCUUAGAAGAGGAUUACAACUUUUGAUUAUUAUUAUUUUUUAUGUAUAGUUUCUUUUAAUUUCCAUCUUAACAAUAUUAUCCUAAGACACACGUACAUCCUAUAAAGCAUCUAUUGUGCGUAUACGUGAUCAUGGCUUAACUAACAUUAAUUAAUUAUAUUAUUCUGGAUCUUCAAAUCUAGAUAUGGACUGCAUGCACCCAAUGCACUCUUCAAUCAUAUCCUAUAGUUUAUUUAAAAGAAUCACAACCUCAUGUGUUGUGUUCUUAAUCAGUCCAAUAAUGAGAUGAUAACUACUGUUAUUAAUUCUCCAUAAAAUGGUAGGCAGAACCGCCACAUCCUAUUUCUUUUUAGCUAGUUUGUCACAUUCCAUUAUAUUUUGGUCUGAUCCAAAUUAGUUGUAUGUGAUGUGAUUCAGUGAUUCUUCUAAAGAAUUAGACAAUCACUACGUUACUAUAAUUAAAAGCAAGACUAUGAUUGAUAAUGAAAUGUGUCACAUAUAGUCAUGGCCACUAAAAAGGUACGUACAUCACAUGAGUGUCUUUCAAUUUCAUGGCUCAUUUCAGCGUAGACGGCAAGUGUGAUAGAUAGACCUAUUAUUAUGGACACGCAGCCUCAAACAUAUAUGGUGGUUGUGUAUUGUUCAAUAUAUACUCGAUAAAAAUGUGAUAUUGUUUGUAAAAAAAAAAAAAAAGUGAUAUUGUUGGACAAAAUCUCUUAUUUCUUAAAGUUAAUUCGAAUGCGGAAUGUUGUCCUAGAUUUAACCUAACUUUAAUGAUUAAUUUUACUAUAUUACCCCUAUUUAAUUUAAGGGUUAAAUAUAUUUUUAGCCCCUAUAAAUAUACCAACUUUUUUUUUUAGUCCCUCUAAAAUUUUCCUUCAACUUUUAGUUCUUAUAAAAUAUUCAAUCUUUAUUUUUGGUCACUUGUUUAAAGUAAACUCAUAUGUAUAAUUCAUAUUUUUAAAUAAAAAAUUUCAGAAAAAUGUAUAAUAUUAUAAGGAUCACUCCCAAAAAAAUUUAGAAUUUUUUACCAAAACAUGAAUUAAAUAUGAAUCUUUAUAUAUUUGGAGGUAAAAAAUUCAUAUUUAAUUCAUGUUUUGUUAAAAAAUUCUAAUUUUUUUUUGGGAGUGAUUUUUACAAUAUUCCAUAAAUUUCUGUACAAUUUCAUUAAAAAAUACAAAAAUUUGCUUAAAAAUAGGGACCAAAAGUAGUAAUUGAAAAUUUUACAGGGACUAAAAGUUGAAGGAAAAUUUUAGAGGGAAUAAAACGAAAAAAUUGGUAUAUUUAUAGGGACCAAAAAUAUAUUUAACCCUUAAUUGAAUCAAAAUGUUAUUUUCAAAUGCUUUUGAAAUCAAAAACAACACAUAACUCCUAAAUCCAAUCCAAUCUUAUUUUCGCUCCUAUUUUUUAUUAAAAAACAAAAGAAAAUCAUCCCCUAUUUUUUUAUGAAACCUAAGCUAAACCAAUUACCCUAUUUUUUUAUGAAAAAUAAAAUAAACCUAUUUUUUUUAUUAAAAACCAAUUGAAGUCGUCCCCUAUUUUCUUUUUUAUGAAAAUAGUCCCCUAUUUUUUUUAUGAAAUCUAAACUAAACUAAUUACCCUAUUUUUUUAUGAAAAACAAAACAAAUCUUUUUUUUUUUUUUUAACAAUCAAAAAUGGAAUUAUAUUAAUCACCAAAAGCAACUC